rnacentral:rRNA from 1 species
UACAGAGGGUGCGAGCGUUAAUCGGAAUUACUGGGCGUAAAGCGUGCGUAGACGGUUAUUUAAGUCGGAUGUGAAAGCCCCGGGCUCAACCUGGGAAUUGCAUUCGAGACUGAAUAGCUAGGGUACGGUAGAGGGAACUGGAAUUUACGGUGUAGCAGUGAAAUGCGUAGAGAUCGUAAGGAAGGCCAGUGGCGAAGGCGGCCCCCUGGACAAAGACUGACGCUCAGGUGCGAAAGCGUGGGGAGCAAACAGG